rnacentral:lncRNA from 1 species
GUUGAAAUUCUGCCUCUGAGAAGCUAACAGUCUUCCUGUGGUCGCCACUCCUCCCCAGCAGCCCCCUCCUUGCCAAGGACGGUCCAGAAGGAGCCCCACUGGGGCCUCCCCGCUCAGCAAAGCAGACCUCACCUCCCACUACCAGCUUGAAGUCACAGCAGCCAGAGGAAAUUCUGCCACCAUUUUCCCAGGUCUGCAGCCCCUCCAGCUGGGAACCUGCUCCUGGAGCCAUCCCUCUGCAAACAGUUACGGCAGAGUCUACGCAGCUGCCGACCCGUACCAUCACACCAUCGGGCCCGCGGCGACCUACAGCAUUGGAACCAUGGUAAGGAGCCCAGGCCCGCCCAGCCCUGGGUGCCAGUCCUAACAGCUGGGCAUGGGUGGUGAGGCCCUUGGGGGAGAGGCCGAGCCCUCUGACCAAUGCCUUGGUCCCGGAGACUUUGGAAGGACCACGGCCUGGAUGUGAGUUAGGGUGAGGGGAGGGCUGGCCCCUCACGCCCUCUCAGUUGCGGGGAAGCAGGUUGAAUGGCUGGUCAGCCCACCGUACCAUCUGGUCCUCUGGAAAGCACCCCAAUGUGCCUGAUCCGUUUCCCUGAGCUCCCUCACUAUAAUAAAGUCCCGUUGAGGCCCCUCCAUUCCCAUUUCCACCAGGAAAACCUCAGAAACCAAACCAGGGCCGCCUCUCCUUCCCAGCAGAGGCUCCCAAGGCCCCGGGGCUGUUUCUGCCCACACCGCAUACCCACGGCCCACCCGCACUGCUGCAGCCCCCUCGCAUCGCAUCCGAGAGGGGAGUGUGGGUUACCGGUUGCUUCUCACCAGGCUCUAGCUCCUGGCUUCCUGGGGGCUCCUGGCGUCCUGGGGAAACAGUGCCUGCUCUGCCCCAGCCUCCUCCCUCAGGCUGUGGGGUGGAAGGGGCGGGGCGGGGAGGUGCGCGGCGUGGCGUGUCUCUGUGUGUGUGUGUGUGUGUGUGUGUGUGUGUGUGUGGCCAGCUGUUGACACGUGCAGCCCAGCUCACUCUGCACCCAGAGCUGCUUCCAGCAGACACCUGCCUCCUGUACCCACUGGCCCCAGCCCCGGGGUGUGAACACGGGUUUUAGCUAGCUUGGCAUCCAGCAUCAAAGAUGAAAACAUCUUGGGAGAGUGAGGAGGGAGGAGGUUCAGAGGCAAUAUGGAUUUUUCCCAUCUUUCUUGGUUUUGAUGACUCCCUCCAAUUUUUUUUUUUUUUUUCAAUUUUUAACGAGCCUCAGACACCCCCAGCAGCCUGUGGUGGCUGUGGGCAGCCACAGGCGCGGGUCUGGUGCGGCCCCACCCGGAUGGAGGUGUGAUACCCUGGCUCUUGGGCCCUCCGUGCAGCUGCAAGCUAAAAGCUUUCAUUAACGCACGGAGGGUUCCCUCUUGUGUUUUCACUUUGUAUUUUUAAGAUUUUCUAUUUUUCCCCAAUUUUUCUUCUCUUGCACUUGCUGUGUUGUUCUUUUCUGGGAAAACUGGGUGGUGGGAGGGUGGGAGGCCCCUUCAGAGCCUUCCCUGACUGGAGGCAGCCCAGGACAUGGGAGAGCUGGAGCAUCCAGGACCCGCUCUCCCCAGUAGGACAGGGCUGGGCCUCAGGUGGGCCCAGGAGGACCCAGAGACCCCCCCAGAGAGCAAGGCUCUGAACACUAUGCCCAGCAGGCUUGCCUCUCCCAGCGUAGCUGGCUUCAGUGGCCCCAGGCUCUUGAGCCAAGGCCCAGGAACCCGCCAGGAGGUCCCUCAGUGCUCUGAAGAUGCCCCGUGCCACCCUGCUGGGGUGCGAGGAGGUGGGGCUCAAGCUGGGACCCCCCCUCUGCAUAAGGACAGUGAGAGGCCAGGCCUGAGCCCAGAGAAGUGACCCAGACAUAACUCAAGCUGUGACCUAGAAGCACUGUUGGCCAUGACCCCAGAGCACCCCACACUGGCCCAAGACCACUAUGUCAGAGGCAGGUCCUACUCUUCCUGUUGCCAUGACAACCCAACUCCUUUCUCCCCAAGGAAUAUAGGGGGAAAGAAAUCGAGACUUGGCUAUUUCUCUUUUUGUUUUUCCUUUUUUUUUUUCUUUUUGCUUUUUCCCCUCUUCCAAAAGACGGUACUGAUUGGCUGUUUUUCAUCUUUGAUGUUGCAGGCUAGCCUCUGCCGAGGAGGGUACAGCCGCUUCACCCCCUACUAGCAAGAGACCCAGCCCCUAACAGCAUUCACACUGACUGCCUAUUACACACCAAACCCAACAGCCCAAAACCAGGCACAGCCACCAGAAGACAGUGCACCCCUCCCGGUCAGCGACACGCACGGCUGGCCCCCUGCAACUCUAAAAUCUAUAGAUUAUUUCUCUCCAGCCAGUUGGUCUCCCCACCCCACCUGUGCUGGUGUGUGUGUCUUUGACCCUGGUUUUUCCUGUAUGUCUGCAACCGUGAUUUCCUAUUUUGACUUUGUUGAUGUUGUACUACCCAAGCCAUUGCAGGUACGGUGUGCACACCGUGGGGUCCAGGCUGGGCCAGGAGACCAGGCAGCCCCCAACCUGGGAGUAGCGGUAGCGCCCUAUGAGGGCAAGAGCCACAUUUCCUGGCCUCCCAGGCUGCACAGAACAACAGAAACGCCUGGCAGGGCCUCCCCCAAAGCCACCCGACCAGCCCCGUGCCAUGGCCCUAGUGUCCAGCACCCUGACGCAGGGAGGGAGGGGCUCCAGGCACCCAGUGUGGGUCUCCCCGGCCUGAGGGUGCUCCCGCAGGCCUUCACCCAGCCAACCACAGGAGUAGCCACUGCCCCUCCUCGCCCCAUUCAGCUGAAACUAAUAUUUUUCAUUAAAUUUUAUUGACGAUAUUUCUUGCCGACGUAGUCACAAGCGUGUCGCGUGGUGUGCAAACUGCUGUGGUCACGCCAGUCUCUGCGACUCCUUAGCACUGCUGCAGCAGAAAGUGGAAAUGUGGAAAGGCACGUCCUGGUCGCUCCUCAGGGAGCCCCUUAGCACCGCAGGGCCAAGGCCAGGCCAGCCUUGCAAGGGGGUUGUCCUGGAGGCACAGCCUACUUUCCCUGUCCCCAAGCUUCGAAAUGUCUUUAUUGGGGUAUAUUCCGGAAGGAGGGGUCCUCAGCAGGCAGGAGAGCUGAUGAGGGGCAGAAUGCACCCUUGCUCAGGCCCUCCCCUGAGCGCAGGCCGGUCAGCCCCAGGUCAGUCCCCUCCCUGCAUUAGGGAGACUGCAGGCAGGGCCCUGUGGCCUGCGGGCCACUCCUUCCUCAGCCCUGGGACUGGCCAGCCCGGUGCAUGGCGCUUCUGGGGAGACACUGGCUGGGACCUCACUUGAGCACAGCCGUGGGCAGCUUGCUGGCCUGCCUAGGAAAAGCCAGCCAAGACAGGCACAGUCCUUUCCUGGCACUGGCCUGGGGCACACAGAUCUGUACCUCCAUGACAGGGAAAAGUAGCCUCAGGUUCUGAGUGUGCCACGGCUGGGCUCCUGGGGCUGGAAGGCCAGCUGGAGGGUGUGGGUUCCCCACCAGUGAGGGCUGAAGUCCUGCCGCCCACCAGGCCCUUGCCGUGGGGGGCCCGGCUCCCCCACCUCCCGUGGCCAGACCAUCACCCUCUGCCAUCUCAUCCAGGCCGCCUCGAAGCCUGUGCUGGCCCAGCCUCUCCACUCACCCUGCCCUGCUCAGCUCUGUCUCCUCCUCAGGGCCCCAGGUGUCUCCUCCCAUCCUGGGCUGCCUGGGCCCCAUCCUGGGAUCCACCCACACUCAGCCCUGGAAGAUGAGGGUCCUGGAAACCUGGGGGGCAGGUGUGGCGGCGCCAGGACUUUAGGCCAGGGGCCCCGUGCCACGUGGUCCUGUCGCCUUCACACCUGCUGUGCCUCCCCCGAGAAGCUGCAAGUCCUGCCUUUCUGUUUCUGUUGUAGUGAAACCUUCCACCGUUUCCUUCUCGGACCAUGAAGGGCAAAAACAAAAAAACAAAAAAAAUCACAAAACAAAAAAAACAAAAAAAGAUGUUAAGAUCCAAGCAACAAAAAAAAAACCAACCAAACCAAGAGGCAUCCAACCAAGUCCAAGUCCCGCGUCCUGGCCACACGCCCGCACCGAGGGAGCACGCCGGCAGGGGCGCCGAGGAGCGGCCCCAGGACAGGACGGCCCCACCGCGUCCUGGCUGGCAGCACAGUGGGAACACGCCCCUCCGUCUCAGGCAGUGGGGGAGUUGGAGGGGAAGGGGCCUCCCUUGUGGGACCCGUGGGGGGCUCUGUUUUCCAUCCAGUCUUCCUUUCCCAGCCCCCAACUCCCAAGACAGACAGUGUGGAGCCCAGCGGCGGCGGAGCAGGCCCGGGCCUGAGCAGGCAGGCGCUGCUAGCAAGACUUGAUCUUUGUGGCCAGCUGUGCCAGGGGGCCGGCGGGGCUGAGGGGUGCGGGCAGCUUUCAUCCCAGGGGCUCCACUGGGCCCCGUCACCCUCCUGUCGCGUCCCCUGCGUCCCACCUCCCUCCUGCCCGGCAGUCCCGCCCGUGCCCCCAGCCUGGCGAGGAAGCCGUCCAACAGUAGCCCCGGGGCCAGCUCCCAACAGAAAGGGCUGACGUGGCUCCAGGACUCAGGGGCGCUCCAUGGGAGGACGAAGGAAGCCCAGCCAGCCAGGAGCCACUCCUCACACCUCCAAGUGUGGCCAAGUGGGCCCUGAGGCCAAGGACUUACUUGCUCUUCCUGGCCAUCUCUCCCUUUCUGGAGGAGGCCCGGGGCCUGUGUACACCAAGGCUGACCUCGUGCUGCCUGCUGGGACCCAGCCCUCCCUGCCGCUCCCCUGUGAGCCCAGUCCACCGUGGGCGCCCAGGGCCAGGGACGGGCCAGCGCCCGGCUGCAUCGCGAGGUUGGGAGUCACAGUGGCUGUGGGCCUGGACGGGCACAGCCAGAGCAGGGGCCCAUGGGAAGGGCAAGGGAUGGGGAAGCCUGGGCCGGCCCCUUCCCUGCUCCCAAGGCAGGUGUCCAGGUGGCGGGAGCAGCACCAAGGACAGCCAGGCUUACCCGGUGGGAGGAGCAGGAGCAGAGCAGGUGGCAGGGAGGAACCCCUGGCGAGGCAGGGAGCACUGAAGUAGGGAAGCAGCAAAAAAUACAGGCUCCCAACGUGGCUCCACUGUCUCAUGAAGUGUCAAAAAUUUAAAAAUACACCUCACUUUCUAUUCAGCAUCAGCUAUUGAAAUGGAAUUCUCCUUUUCUAUUCCCGUUGUACAUAGCCCCACGCCCUGCCUCCGGCUUUGUCCUCUGUACAGAGCCCCCUGUCCCCUCUGCUGUUCCGGACCCUUUUCUUGCAGCAGCUCAACCCCCCGACUCACUCAGAUCCCCAGGACUGCAGCCGAGCCCCGGGCUUCCUUUCUUACCAUUCUGUAUGCUUCCAAGGUGUGACCAUUCAAACUAACAGUAUUAUUAAGAUUAUUAAUAAAGAUUUCUUUCUUCAAACCAGG